rnacentral:piRNA from 1 species
UAGGACCUUGUUCAGGGAAAUACCUGGCCCU